CUAGCAUAGUAAACAGGACUACAAAACAAUUAUGUAAAUACUGCAAACUAAGAGAAAAUGGCAAAAGUGUCCAAGGUGAAGGAAGAGAAAGUUAUCAUAAACACCUGAGAUAAGGAUUUAAGGCUUGGCCCAUAUAAACCUUCCACCACAACCUGGCCCUCUUCCCACAAAUGCUGCUUGGAAAGGUGAGAACACUGAUGGUCAACUGUCAGUCCACCCUGUCCUGUGACAUGAGCAUGGAAUUCUUCUUUAUUAGGUUUUCUUGGCAUUCUAAACCCAAAUAUCUAGAGCCCUUUCCAUUACCUGCCAGACCUGAGAAGUUGCUGCGCCGCAGAAGCAGAAGCAGAUGCUGCUCGGUCCAUAUAGACAUUGGUCAGAGCCAGAUGUGUCCACCCAGCUCUCUUGAAUCCUCAUGUUUCAUGGCAGCUCUUUUCUGAAAAGAAGCCCAGGAGAAACAAUACCCCAGAUCAGACUUUCCAGAUGCUUCUGGGUGUUCCUGGCCGUGUGUGUGAGUUUAUACGUACGGGGACUCAGAGCGCCUUGAGCAAGCUCGACAUUAUUGCCACGUUCCAGCUGAAGAGUGAAGCCGUUGCUGAACACAGACGAUGUCAGGCACUGGUAAGCAUACAUUUGGCCCUGAUUGAUUUCAACAGGCUGGAGGUGAAAAUUAUCUUAAAGGCAGAGUUACUUUAAAUCUAAUGCAAAAAAUCACAUGUUCCCCUCUGUCUUCCCCCAACCAGCUGCAUCUGGCCCUUAGAUUUGUUUGGUUUGGCUUUCACCGUAUUUAAACAACAGCAUCAACCAAAAAUUGGAUUUGUGGAUGUGGGAGAUUUCAUGUAAAACUCCGAGUUUCUGGCAUCUGGGCGAUCUGGCAGGCCUAGGUGCCAUUCCAAUGUGGCUGGAUACAGCCCUGCUCAGAUGAGUCAUGGGCUUGCCAGGACGCUGACCCUAACUGACCGCCUUCACUCACUUAU